rnacentral:rRNA from 1 species
UACGGAAGGGGCAAGCGUUGUUCGGAAUCAUUGGGCGUAAAGAGCGUGUAGGCGGCCAGAUAAGUCCGCUGUGAAAUCUCGAGGCUCAACUUCGAGCUGUCGGUGGAAACUGUCUGGCUAGAGUCCGGAAGAGGAGAAUGGAAUUCCUGGUGUAGCGGUGAAAUGCGCAGAUAUCAGGAAGAACACCAGUGGCGAAGGCGGCUCACUGGACUGGUACUGACGCUGGAGGCGCGAAAGCGUGGGGAGCAAACGGG